rnacentral:rRNA from 1 species
GACGAACGCUGGCGGCGUGCUUAACACAUGCAAGUCGAGCGAUGAACCGGGUGCUUGCACUCGGGGAUUAGUGGCGAACGGGUGAGUAACACGUGAGCAACCUGCCCCUGACUCUGGGAUAAGCGCUGGAAACGGCGUCUAAUACUGGAUAUGUCCCGUCACCGCAUGGUGUGCGGGUGGAAAGAUUUUUCGGUUGGGGAUGGGCUCGCGGCCUAUCAGCUUGUUGGUGAGGUAAUGGCUCACCAAGGCGUCGACGGGUAGCCGGCCUGAGGGGGUGACCGGCCACACUGGGACUGAGACACGGCCCAGACUCCGACGGGAGGCAGCAGUGGGGAAUAUUGCACAAUGGGCGGAAGCCUGAUGCAGCAACGCCGCGUGAGGGAUGACGGCCUUCGGGUUGUAAACCUCUUUUAGCAGGGAAGAAGCGAGAGUGACGGUACCUGCAGAAAAAGCACCGGUUAACUACGUGCCAGCCGCCGCGGUAA